CACCUCCCCACGCUUACCGCAGGCAGCCUCCGCCUCAGCUGCCUGUACAGAACGGGGAGGGAGAGCAUCGCCUCGGUACACCCCGGCCCGGGAGGCAGUGCCCUGGCUGGAUUGUGAGCGGGGGGACACGG